GUGCUCACUUCAGCAAUAAAUAUGGGAACACUGGAACAACACAGAAAAGACCAGCAUGGUCCCGGGCACAACAGUGACACACAAAUUCAAAAAGUGUCCCACAUUUUA
rnacentral:snRNA from 1 species